UCGAGCGAGGACUUCGGUCCUAGCGGCGGACGGGUGAGUAACGCGUGGGAACGUGCCCCUUGGUACGGAAUAGCCCCGGGAAACUGGGAGUAAUACCGUAUGAGCUCUACGGAGGAAAGAUUUAUCGCCAAGGGAUCGGCCCGCGUUGGAUUAGGUAGUUGGUGGGGUAAUGGCCUACCAAGCCGACGAUCCAUAGCUGGUUUGAGAGGAUGAUCAGCCACACUGGGACUGAGACACGGCCCAGACUCCUACGGGAGGCAGCAGUGGGGAAUCUUAGACAAUGGGCGCAAGCCUGAUCUAGCCAUGCCGCGUGAGCGAUGAAGGCCUUAGGGUUGUAAAGCUCUUUCAGCUGGGAAGAUAAUGACUGUACCAGCAGAAGAAGCCCCGGCUAACUCCGUGCCAGCAGCCGCGGUAAUACGGAGGGGGCUAGCGUUGUUCGGAAUUACUGGGCGUAAAGCGCACGUAGGCGGACUGGAAAGUCAGGGGUGAAAUCCCGGGGCUCAACCCCGGAACUGCCUUUGAAACUCCCAGUCUUGAGGUCGAGAGAGGUGAGUGGAAUUCCGAGUGUAGAGGUGAAAUUCGUAGAUAUUCGGAGGAACACC
rnacentral:rRNA from 1 species